UCAAAUUUGAAAUCUGGCCCCUCUGGGGGUCCGAGUUGUAAUUUGCAGAGGACACUUCGGGUGCGGUCGCGGUCUAAGUCCCCUGGAACGGGGCGUCGGAGAGGGUGAGAAUCCCGUCUGGGACCGUGGACCUGCCCCGUGUGAAGUUCCUUCGACGAGUCGAGUUGUUUGGGAAUGCAGCUCCAAGUGGGUGGUAAAUUUCAUCUAAAGCUAAAUACCGGCGGGAGACCGAUAGCGCACAAGUAGAGUGAUCGAAAGGUUAAAAGCACCUUGAAAAGGGAGUUAAACAGCACGUGAAAUUGUUGAAAGGGAAGCGCUGGCAGCCAGACAGGGACCCGGGGGCUCAGCGGGCAUGCGUGCCCGUGCACUCCCCCGCGGUCCCGGCCAGCAUCGGUUUCGGCGGCCGGUCAAAGGCCCCGGGAAGGUAUCGUCCUCCGGGACGACUUACAGCCCGGGGUGCAAUGCGGCCAGUCGG
rnacentral:rRNA from 1 species